ACCCGCUGAACUUAAGCAUAUCAAUAAGCGGAGGAAAAGAAACCAACAGGGAUUGCCCUAGUAACGGCGAGUGAAGCGGCAACAGCUCAAAUUUGAAAUCUGGCUCUUUUAGAGUCCGAGUUGUAAUUUGCAGAGGGCGCUUUGGCUUUGGCAGCGGUCCAAGUUCCUUGGAACAGGACGUCACAGAGGGUGAGAAUCCCGUACGUGGUCGCUGGCUGUUGCCGUGUAAAGCCCCUUCGACGAGUCGAGUUGUUUGGGAAUGCAGCUCUAAAUGGGAGGUACAUUUCUUCUAAAGCUAAAUAUUGGCCAGAGACCGAUAGCGCACAAGUAGAGUGAUCGAAAGAUGAAAAGCACUUUGGAAAGAGAGUCAAACAGCACGUGAAAUUGUUGAAAGGGAAGCGCUUGCAGCCAGACUUGCUUACAGUUGCUCAUCCGGGCUUUUGCCCGGUGCACUCUUCUGUAGGCAGGCCAGCAUCAGUUUGGGCGGUAGGAUAAAGGUCUCUGUCACGUACCUCUCUUCGGGGAGGCCUUAUAGGGGAGACGACAUACUACCAGCCUGGACUGAGGUCCGCGCAUCUGCUAGGAUGCUGGCGUAAUGGCUGU
rnacentral:rRNA from 1 species